CAGAUCAGAUUGGAUGCCUUGGAGCUGCUUCUUAUUCACUGGUCUUGUGUCACUUUGCACGCACACAGGACAAGGCCAACAGCUACUGUUUUCCAGACCUACCUGCUGAGCCUGAUGACCUCCCUGUGAUUGUUGAAUCUAUGAAAAGUCAUAGGGUACAGACCAACAUCCCAGCUGCUGUAGCAAUGGAGACAGAGGAUCCCUGCCCUGCUGUUACUCUCAGGUAAUCCAGAUUACAGUUGUUCUCAUUCCAUUUGUGAAUAUUGAAGACAUACGAAGACAGGAGGAGUUACCAGCUGAAGGGAGGAGAUGAAAUGAGGAGAAAAUAAAGGCGAGGAGGUUAUCUUAAAGAUAGAGACUGACACCCCCCCCCCAUCCCGUCCCCCAGGUCUUCCCGUCAAGAGGAUUAUAGACAUUAGGCAGGAUGGCUCUCUGUCUCUCCUGUCUCUUUCUGUCUUUCUCGGUCUGUCUCCUUUUCUGUCUCUGUCCGUCCGUCUUUCUCUCUUUCUUUAUCUCUCUGUCCGUCUCUCUUUGUCAGUUUUCACAGUGUUUGAUUACAGAUGACGAGUCUCAUUUAGUCUUCAUUAACUCCUGCUAAUUAAUGUCUAUUGUAAUUUGAGUUUAGAGGUGAUCGGCUGCUUUGUGACAGCUCGUUAUUUCAACUAAUGAACCCCAUUGCAUGUAUGUGUGUAAAUUCCCACCGGGCACAGAUAUGAAUGUCAAAUCACCACCGAAUUUAAUACAACUUAAUUAACAGUGUCAGAUCAUUACAGAAGUUAGAGGGGUGGGGCAGUCAACUGAUGUAGAAAGGGUGGAAAGCCAGAUGGUUUAUUUUAAAAUUCUUUAAGUAGUUUAUUUGUAGAAGUUAUUUAUCUGUGAUGGUACUUGAUGCUCAGAUUUGAUUAGUGAUUAAUUUAUAGAUGUAUGUGUUAUUUAUCUGGAUGUUACUAGAAUAGUAUGAUUACUAUAUCAUGGAAAAAUGGCACUUUAAUUAUGGAAUGUAGAACUAUUAGUUAAUAAUGAUUAUAAUUCAUGGUUGUGUUUGUUGUACUUACUAUUCAUGUGGAUCUCCUAAUUCAGUUGUGCUUUGGGUCUAAUUGUCUUGCUGCACCACAUAUCAAAUUAACAAUAUUAAUGAAGUUAAAGUUAAAGUUGAGCGUGGUUAACAGCAGAUGAGCAGGCAGAGGAUUUAGAGCAAUGGAAACAAACAAACAUCUCACUAUCACUAACAUUAUCCAUAUUCAUAUUCAGACCCAACAAAUUAUAUAUCUGCUACAAAAAGCCUGGAAGUCGGAAGAUAGAACUGAAGUACAAAGAGUUGCUAUGGAGAUAAUGCAGACCGAUGUGUUGCAAGUAAUUGCAAGUUUUAACUCGUCCCUUCUUGACUCUGUGGUCUGAACUGUGCUGAAGAGAGCUGAAACAACGUUCUGUUUGAUAGCAUUGAUUAGUGUGAUGUGUUGCAGGAGUGCAGCUCGGGGCAGGUGAAACAGCAAUCAGGAGACUCAGACAUGCACGCACGCAUGCACACAGACACACACAUACACACACACACACACACACACGCAUGCACACAGACACAGAC